UACGUAGGGGGCUAGCGUUGUCCGGAAUCAUUGGGCGUAAAGCGCGUGUAGGCGGUCCGGUAAGUCCGCUGUGAAAGUCGGGGGCUCAACCUCGAAUGCCGGUGGAUACUGUCGGGCUAGAGUGCGGAAGAGGCGAGUGGAAUUCCUGGUGUAGCGGUGAAAUGCGCAGAUAUCAGGAGGAACACCAAUUGCGAAGGCAGUUCGCUGGGACGUUACUGACGC
rnacentral:rRNA from 1 species